GGUAACCUGGGGAGUAAAGGAGAGGGACCUAGAAUGCCAUCCCCACUCCCUCACACACACGGAAGAGCAGGACCCAGAGCAAAACCUAGCCUCCUGUUCAUGCUUCAGCAGGCGUGACCAUCCUGCGCCUUCAAUCCACUGCACCAAUUGAGCAUCAGGACAACUGGCCAUUACACCUCACCGUACAGGUGCAGGGCUGAGGUUCAGAGAGGGCCAGUGACUUACCCAGGCCCCCCAGCAGGGAUGGCAUCGUCCCUAUCUAUAAAUGAAGAAACAGCUCUGAAAGAUCCCGUAGCUUCAGACACCAGGCUGGGCUGAGUGGAGUACCUGGCUCCCCAGAAAGGCCUCCUGCAUGUGCUUCCUGGCGCUGCUGCCCUAGAUUCAUCCUUCUCCCUCUCUGCCCUUCUGUGUCCUAGGACACUACCCCAGGAGGCUGACCUACAUGAACUUGUGCUUUGUCUUCUGGCUUAACCUGGGAAGCCCCAGCAGGAGACAAGAGGCAGGACAAGAGACUGAAGGGGGAUAGUUUGGGAGUGUUCAUGUGUCGUUUGCGAAAACUCAUCAUAUUGUAUACUAUUCUGCAUGUACAUUGUAUUUG